rnacentral:lncRNA from 1 species
CCUCCUAUUUGGUAAUAUAGUAUUUCUCAGUUGUCCCAUUUCUGUCAUUACACAAGGACACUUUUGGUUGUUCACAGUCCUGUUUUUCGAACCUGACCUCCAGAAACUGUUGGUAUUUUCAGGAAAAUAGAUCUCUACUUUCCUCCCAGGUGUUCACACACAUCCAGACACCUAAGUACCAGAAUAAAUGCAUUUAGAUCUCUUGAAAGACGUGACUCUCAGAUGAAGCACCUGCUACUUCAGAGAAACACAAAGCUUCAAAGCCACCCUGUGAUCAAAGUAUUUUGGGCUGGAUCCAACACAGACAGAGUCAACCGCAACGGCUCCAUUGUCUUGGAAGGUGCAAGCUCAAUACCAACCUGCAAGCCUUUACAUGACCCUCGGGAUAUGUUGCCACAAAAGUUGCCAGAAGGAUAGCCAUGAUUCUCUGUUACCCAAAAAGAAACAGUUAUUUGGUAAUUUACAGCACAAUCCCUACAUGGUUACUCAGAAGUAAAUCUCAAUGAAAACUGUAGGAUAUACUCCCAGGUAAGUGUAUAUAGGACUACCUAAAGACUACUUUGUGUACGUUUCCCUCCCAACCCUCAUUUGUACCUUGGCUUGAAUGAAGAAAAGAGGGUUAGUUGGGUACAUACACUUCAUGACCCAGCAGGAUUCUCUCAAUCUGCUUUGGGAACCCUAUAUAUUUCUCAUAUCAGAAGUAUGUCAGAUCAUUCAGCCAGGAUAUAAGAUUUCCCCCUGUUGUCCUAAUCAGUAAAGCAUGCUUUUAAAAUAUGAAAUCGUCCCCAAAUCUUGUUGAUCUGAACAGGCAUUUCUCUUCUUUCGUCUCACAGCUUCACCAGGGGAUUCUUAUUUUUAUUUGGACUAUGACAAAGAAUCAAACCCUUCCUUGAAAUCAUCAUCCUGGUUCUCACUGGGACCACAGUGGCUGCUAAUUAAAGACUUAACAAAGAUUUCCCUAAUUCCAAGUGACAUACUUAAUGGGCCAGAACACUACUGGUGUUCAUGUAUGGUUGUGUAAUUUGCUGGGGCUAAUUGUGGUUUCCUGAUAACAUCCUGGGAUGCAUUUUUUUAUGAGUCAUUCAUCUGAUUGCACCAUCGAGAUGCAUUCUGACACCUUAUCAAUUAGCCACAGCAAGUCAAAC